rnacentral:rRNA from 1 species
GACAGAGGGUGCAAACGUUGUUCGGAAUUACUGGGCGUAAAGCGCGUGUAGGCGGCUCGGCAAGUCGGGUGUGAAAGCCCUGGGCUUAACCUAGGAAGUGCACUCGAAACUGCCAAGCUUGAGUCCUGGAGAGGAAGGCGGAAUUCUCGGUGUAGAGGUGAAAUUCGUAGAUAUCGAGAGGAACACCGGUGGCGAAGGCGGCCUUCUGGACAGCAACUGACGCUGAGACGCGAAAGCGUGGGGAGCAAACAGG